GGGCGCAAGCCUGAUGCAGCCAUGCCGCGUGGUAUGAAGAAGGCCUUCGGGUUUGAAAGUACUUUCAGCAGUGAGGAAGGUGGGUAUGUUAAUAGCAUAUUCAUUUGACGUUAGCUGCAGAAGAAGCACCGGCUAACUCCGUGCCAGCAGCCGCGGUAAUACGGAGGGUGCGAGCGUUAAUCGGAAUUACUGGGCGUAAAGCGCAUGCAGGUGGUUUGUUAAGUCAGAUGUGAAAGCCCGGGGCUCAACCUCGGAAUUGCAUUUGAAACUGGCAAACUAGAGUACUGUAGAGGGGGUAGAAUUUCAGGUGUAGCGGUGAAAUGCGUAGAGAUCUGAAGGAAUACCGGUGGCGAAGGCCGGCCCCCUGGACAGAUACUGACACUCAGAUGCGAAAGCGUGGGGAGACAAACAGGAUUAGAUACCCUGGUAG
rnacentral:rRNA from 1 species